UACCUGCAGCCCAAGUGGUGCUCGUUAUUAUUGGGUCUAAAACGUCCGUAGUCGGCUGAGUAGAUGCCCGGGUAAAUCGCAGCGCUUAACGUUGCGAAUUCCGGGUAGACCGCUCGGCUAGGGAGUGGGAGAGGUGCGAGGUACUCUGAGGGUAGGGGUAAAAUCCUGUAAUCCUUGGGGGGACCACCAGUGGCGAAGGCGUCGCACUAGAACACGUCCGACGGAUCAGGGACGAAGCCCUGGGGCGCAAACGGG
rnacentral:rRNA from 1 species